CCUACAGGGGGCAGCAGUGGGGGAAUAUUGCACAAUGGGGGGAGCCCUGAUGCAGCAAUGCCGCGUGAAGGAUGAAGGUUUUCGAAUUGUAAACUUCUUUUGUACGGGACGAAGAAAGUGACGGUACCGUAAGAAUAAGCCACGGCUAACUACGUGCCAGCAGCCGCGGUAAUACGUAGGUGGCAAGCGUUAUCCGGAUUUACUGGGUGUAAAGGGCGAGUAGGCGGGAUUGCAAGUCCGAUGUGAAAACUAUGGGCUCAACCGAUAGAGUGCAUUUGAAACUGCAGUUCUUGAGUGAUGGAGAG
rnacentral:rRNA from 1 species